CCUACGGGAGGCAGCAGGGAGGAAUAUUGGUCAAUGGCCGUAAGGCUGAACCAGCCAAGUCGCGUGAAGGAAGAAGGAUCUAUGGUUUGUAAACUUCUUUUAUAGGGGAAUAAAGGUAUCCACGUGUGGAUAUUUGCAUGUACCCUAUGAAUAAGCAUCGGCUAACUCCGUGCCAGCAGCCGCGGUAAUACGGAGGAUGCGAGCGUUAUCCGGAUUUAUUGGGUUUAAAGGGUGCGUAGGCGGGUUGUUAAGUCAGUUGUGAAAGUUUGCGGCUCAACCGUAAAAUUGCAGUUGAUACUGGCAGCCUUGAGUACAGUAGAGGUAGGCGGAAGUCGUGGUGUAGCGGUGAAAUGCUUAGAUAUCACGAAGAACUCCGAGUGCGAAGGCAGCCUGCGGGACUUUAACUGACGCUGAUGCUCGAAAGUGUGGGUAUCAAACAGGAUUAGAUACCCUGGUAGUC
rnacentral:rRNA from 1 species